rnacentral:sRNA from 1 species
UCAAGGUUAUAGGAUGGGAUCCUUUGAU